rnacentral:rRNA from 1 species
UGGGGAAUAUUGGACAAUGGGGGGAACCCUGAUCCAGCCAUGCCGCGUGUGUGAAGAAGGCCUUAUGGUUGUAAAGCACUUUAAGCGAGGAGGAGGCUCUCUUGGUUAAUACCCAAGAAGAGUGGACGUUACUCGCAGAAUAAGCACCGGCUAACUCUGUGCCAGCAGCCGCGGUAAUACAGAGGGUGCGAGCGUUAAUCGGAUUUACUGGGCGUAAAGCGUGCGUAGGCGGCUUUUUAAGUCGGAUGUGAAAUCCCCGAGCUUAACUUGGGAAUUGCAUUCGAUACUGGGAAGCUAGAGUAUGGGAGAGGAUGGUAGAAUUCCAGGUGUAGCGGUGAAAUGCGUAGAGAUCUGGAGGAAUACCGAUGGCGAAGGCAGCCAUCUGGCCUAAUACUGACGCUGAGGCACGAAAGCAUGGGGAGCAAACAGG